GAGCACAACGAUGCCGACAAAUGCACCUGUAGAACUCACCACCCCGGCCGUCUGAUGCCCGGCGCACCGAUCAGGGCGCAGGGAGCCAGGACGUGGACCGCAAACGGAUAGAAAAAACUUUCAACAACGGAUCUCUUGGUUCCCGCAUCGAUGAAGAACGCAGCGAAAUGCGAUAAGUAAUGUGAAUUGCAGAAUUCAGUGAAUCAUCGAAUCUUUGAACGCACAUUGCGCCCCCUGGCAUUCCAGGGCGCAUGCCUGUUCGAGCGUGUCCGAGAAGUAGGCUCACGCGUGGAAACGCGUGGUUGUGGUGGCGGCGGCGGUCCCGACAGGGCGGCCAUCCCGGCGGAAUCGAUGGGCGGAUGCCUGCCGCUUCGCAGAGCGUGAUAUUCUUUGCUAUCGCCUCGAGGGCGGCGAGGUGUCCAGCCAGCGCAUCCAUGCACGGCGGGGAGAAUGUGACAUUGGAACUCCUCGA
rnacentral:rRNA from 1 species